rnacentral:sRNA from 1 species
UAGCAUAUGGUGGUCACUUCGCGACGUUCAAGACAGUGUCCAAGAUUCUUCAAGCAGGCUUUUGGUGGCCAACAAUGUUUAAGGACGCUCAGAAGUUUGUUUCAAAGUGUGAUUCAUGCCAGAGAAAAGGUAACAUCAGCAGAAGAAAUGAGAUGCCUCAGAAUCCAAUCUUGGAAGUUGAGAUCUUUGAUGUAUGGGGGAUUGAUUUUAUGGGUCCAUUCCCAUCUUCAUACGGUAAUAAAUAUAUACUGGUCGUCGUAGACUACGUAUCAAAGUGGGUCGAAGCUAUUGCUAGUCCUACCAACGAUGCAAAAGUUGUGCUGAAGUUGUUCAAGACCAUAAUCUUCCCAAGAUUUGGAGUUCCCAGGGUAGUAAUCAAUGAUGGCGGGAACCAUUUCAUCAACAAGGUUUUUGAGAACCUCUUGAAGAAGCAUGGAGUAAAGCACAAGGUCGCCACUCCCUAUCAUCCACAGACAAGCGGGCAGGUUGAGAUCUCCAAUAGGGAGAUAAAAACAAUUAUGGAAAAGACUGUUGGGAUUACAAGGAAAGACUGGUCUGCAAUGCUAGAUGAUGCAUUAUGGGCUUACAGGACAGCCUUCAAGACCCCCAUUGGUACAACUCCUUUCAAUCUUCUCUAUGGAAAUCAUGUCAUCUACCUGUUGAGCUCGAGUACAAAGCAAUAUGGGCGGUAAAACUUCUGACCUUUGACAUAAAAACUGCCGAGAGAAGCGAUUGAUCCAACUCAGUGACCUCGAUGAGAUCCGUCUAGAAGCUUAUGAGAGUUCUUAAAUCUACAAGGAGAGAACCAAGCUUUUCCAUGACAAGAAGAUCAUCACUAAGGAUUUCCAGGUUGGUGAUCAGGUGCUGCUAUUCAACUCUCGCUUGAAACUCUUUCCAGGAAAAUUUAAAUCCAGAUGGUCUGGCCCCUUCUGUAUCACUGAGGUCCGUCCUAAUGGAGCAGUCACUCUAGCUGGUAAGAGUCGAGAUUUUACAGUAAAUGGUCAAAGGCUCAAGAAAUACUUAGCAGACCAAAUCCUUCGAGAGGUGACAUCGGUUCAUCUCCAAGAACUUCUUGAUGAUUAAAGGAGUAAAGGAGUCAAGCUAACGACUUUAAACAAGCUCACUUGGGAGGAAGUCCCAUGACUAUCUCUGUAAAUAAAUUUUUUAUUUUCUUGUUAUUUUUUAUUUGUCUCAGUUGUGUUUGUAGUUCUCAGGAACGAAGGAACAGUGUGGAGAUAGAGUAAAAACUCAAAACUUUUACUCUACAGAAGACCUGGAGAUCGAUUGUAUAGCCCGUUGGAGUACAAAAUUUUGAAAAUCAUCUAUUGCACCUGGAGACCAAAAACUUUUAAAUCAUCAUUUUACUCGACCAACAGAAGCUACAGAGUCUUACAGGGAGUUUAUCAAGUUUACAGUAGAUUUCCUGCAGUUUUCCCAGUCAACAGAGUGUAAACCACGCGCUAAGGAUAAGAUGGAGAGAGAAUCUCAAACUCAAUCUCAGCCAUUCCUUUCACUCGACCUUACUCUCUCCUGUUUUCAACCACUCGACCAAAACAACCAACUCGACCUUACUCUCUCCUGUUUUCCACCACUCGACCUAAACAACCAACUCGACCUCAUAAGCCCUAGCCGUACUCGACCUCUGCCGCAUCCACACAGUUCAACGAUUCACUCGACCCGCAGAACCACUCGACCUCCGAGGACCACUCGACCUAGGCGCCGCCGUCACCAGUUCAUUUCCUCCUUCACUCGACCGGACCUCUACACUCGACUCCGUUGGGAUACUCGACCAAUUCAUCACAUCAACCGCCGUCUCUUCCAAAAGAAGCUACUCGACCUCGUUACUCAGUCUCGUAGCCGCACUCGACCGACGCCGCCUCAGCCGAUUUCAACAACGCACUCUACCGACGCCGCCUCAGCCGAUUUCAACAACUCACUCGACCUUUCCAGUGCCGCCGCUAUCGAGUACUCCUCCUCGUUCACCGUCGAAUUCUCAGGGUUCAAGAUUUCACUCGACCUCGAGUUUUAACUCGACCUCUGUAACUGCAACUCAACUUCUUGAAAUCAACAGAGCCCUGAAGCACUGUAAUAGAGAUUACUCGACCUCAAGACUUCACCGGCUGAACUCGACAUCCACAAUUCACUCGACCUCCAGGAACAGCUCAGGAGAAUCAUGAGCAAUUACAGUGGCAUUUCUUCUGUUGAUCCUGACUACAACAUGGAUGAGACAGAGUCGUCAUCUUCAAGGCUAGAGAGAGAACAGAGAAUAUGAAAGCUUCAGAAGGAAAGCUGAGAUAGCCGGAGGGAAGAGAGCGAUGAUAGAGAGGUAUGAGCUUAUAGACGAAGAUCUGGAAGACGAGUACAUGCCUGAACAGACUCGCAGAGCUACCAAACUUCUACACAAGCCCGACGUAUUGCCUGCUAAGGAAUAUGUUAGGCUUUUCAAGCUGAAUGAGUUUUGUAGCACGAGGUAUCCUUGCUCGACCUCACUUGCACAACUCGGAUUGUUGGAAGAUGUUCAGCACCUGUACCAGAUUUGUCAUCUGGACACUCUGAUGGCUUAUCCGUAUGUAGCGUAUGAAGAUGAGACAAUACAAUUCCUCUCCACGCUGCAAGUAGAGCUCUACCAAGGUAUGACCUCUGAUGAGUUGGAUUGUGAAGGAUUGGGAUUCUUGCGAUUCUCUGUGUAUGGUCAUGAGUAUAGGUUAUCAAUCAAGCGCUUGGAAGGAUUGUUUGGCUUCCCCAGUGGAACGGGAUCUAAGCCCAAGUAUGACAGAGAAGAGUUGAAAGACUUGUGGAUCACCAUUGGCAGCUCUGUACGGCUGAAUUCUUCCAGGUCAAAGAGCAAUCAGAUACGCAGCCCUGUCAUCAGGUACUUCCAGCGUUCUAUAGCCAAUGUACUCUACUCCCAAGAGAUCACAGGGACUGUUACUAACUCUAAUAUGGAGAUGAUCGCAAUGGCCCUAAAGGGAACUCUUCGCCAAACUAAGAAUGGUAUGUCUCUCCAAGGUGAAAUCAAUGACACACCUCUCUCUAUACUUCUUCUGAUCCAUCUGUGUGGAUACAAGAGCUGGGCUGUCAGCAAUAACCACAAGAGAGCACGAGGCGCUCUGUGCAUAGGUGGUGUUGUGACACCGAUUCUGAUAGCUUGUGGAGUCCCAAUCAUUUCUGCUGGACUCGAGCCGCGAGCAAUGGAUAUCGAGCACCUACGUCACUGCGAAUUCCUGGAGUUUGCAAUGGUUGACGACUUCCACAGGUUCAGGUUUGAGCACUCUACAGAGAGGAGAGCUAGCAUCCUUCUCCCUAGCCCUGAGGUUACACAGAUAAUAGAGGGAGAUAACAUUGAUUUUUAGCCUGAGGUUGGACGCCUCUACUAUGAGAACGCUCUGCCAUUGGAUGAGGAUGAUCUUUUAGAAGAAGCUGCUUCGGAUGGGAUGGAUGAAGAUAGAGCAGUGGAGUUCGACACUAGCAUGUAUCACUUUGGUGAACAUGUACCUCCAGCGAGGCAGAGCAAGAGCUUGACUGAAGCUUAUAAGAACAACAGUAAAUUGCAGAGGUGGUGCAAGAAGCAGGACAAGCUGCUCGCCAAGUGUUUCAAGGCUAUCAAGCUUCUGACAGAUAAGUUGAGUUGUUCCUCCUCCACCACUGCUAUUCCACAGGGACAGCCUCCUCUGGAGAUGCCAUCGAGGAGAUUUGAUGAGCCUGCGCACAGGUCUGAGCUUAGCGAGCAGAGAGUCUCACAUGUCCCGGCUAGGCAUUCGUCAUUCGAGUCCCGGUAGCACAAGAGAAGAAGGAAGGCUACACUCACUCGAUCUAGCAGCAGAUCACGCCUCAUUCACUCGACCGCGGUGCUGGCCGCAGCAGAAGGAGAGAGGUCGAGUAUCCUCAAAGCGGUGCUGGCCGCAACAGAGGUGAUGAGGUCAAGUACCCACCUGCUGGAGCUGAUACAGAACAAGGUGGUUCGUCUAUGGCCUGAGAGCAAUCACAGGCAGCCAUUGACGAACAACUACGUUCAUUCUUCGACCGAGGUAAGCGCCUCACUUCACCAUUGUAUUAUAUCAUUUGUUGUGAUUUG